GUGUCCUUCGGGACAAGGAGACAGGUGGUGCAUUGGUUGUCGUCAGCUCGUGUCGUGAGAUGUUUGGGUUAAGUCCCGCAACGAGCGCAACCCUCGCCUUUAGUUGCCAGCAUUCAGUUGGGCACUCUAGAGGGACUGCCGGUGUCAAACCGGAGGAAGGUGGGAUGACGUCAAGUCCUCAUGGCCUUUAUGUCUAGGGCUACACACGUACUACAAUGGCCGGUACAAAGGGCAGCCACUCAGCGAUGAGGCGCUAAUCCCAUAAAGCCGGUCUCAGUCCGGAUCGCAGUCUGCAACUCGACUGCGUGAAGUUGGAAUCGCUAGUAAUCGUAGAUCAGCAUGCUACGGUGAAUACGUUCCCGGGCCUU
rnacentral:rRNA from 1 species